GAUGAACGCUGGCGGCGUGCUUAACACAUGCAAGUCGAACGGAAAGGCCCUGCUCUUGCUCGUUGCUCGAUUGGCGAACGGGUGAGUAACACGUGUGUAACCUCCCCUUGUCUUUCGGAUAACUUCAGGAAACUCGGGCUAAUACCCGAUAGGAUCUCCUGCUGCAUGGUGGUGGUUGGAAAGUUUCGGCGGUUGGGGAUGGACUCGCUGCUUAUCAGCUUGUUGGUGGGGUAGUGGCUUACGAAGGCUUUGACGGGUACGCGGCCUGAGAGGGUGACCGGGCACAUGAGGACUGAGAUACGGAGCAGAAUGGUACGGGAGGCAGCAGUGGGGAAUAUUGCGCAAUGGGCGGAAGCGUGAUGCAGAAACGCCGCGUGCGGAAUAACGUCCUUCGGGUUGUAAACCGCUUUCGACUGUGACGAAGCGUGAGUGACGGUAAUGGGUAAGGAAGCACCGGCUAACUACGUG
rnacentral:rRNA from 1 species